rnacentral:lncRNA from 1 species
GGGGGUAUACACUGCAAUUACAAUGAUUACGCGCUGCUUCUUUGUUCACUGCAAUUAUCUUUCUUUUCAUGGCUAUACACUGCAAUUACCCAAAAUUCAUUGGGUAAUCCACUUAAAUUUUUAAACCCAAAACUUGUAUUUUUUAGGUUUCAAAAUUCAUGGGGUAUAAUUCGGGCGGUUCCCAAUUUAUAAAUUACUCUAUCGAGUUUAUCCUUUCGGAUUUUAGGUACCUUAAGUUUAAAAAUAUAUAUGUAUAUUAUUAAAUAGAACAGAUGUGUUUAUUUUUAGGAGUUUUUGCCAAAACUAACCCACAACUUGAUUUUA